rnacentral:lncRNA from 1 species
UUAACCUAAGUAUAUUGAUCAUAAGGAAUCACAUUAGCAAGGACUCGAAAGCGGAAGGUUAACGGGUCAAGCAGAGGCGAGGAAACAAGCGUGAACACUAACGCUCGAGAAGUAGUAAUGCAUGCGCGAAUGUGGAUAUGGGGUUGGUAUAGAAGAAGGUGUUACACGGACUUCUUCUGUUGCUAUGGAAGUGAAGCGGACGUAGAUCGAGUC